rnacentral:rRNA from 1 species
AUUUAUGUUGUUGCAGUUGAAAAGCUCGUAGUUGGAUUUGAGGUUUAGGGAUAUGGUCUCAUCUUCGGAUGUUGUACUGUAUUUCUUUAUCUUUUACAUGAGAAGGUAUUCUGUUCUUUAUUGGAUGGUUUAUUGACUCAUGUCUUAUACUUUGAAAAAAUUAGAGUGUUCAAAGCAGGCUUAUGCCUUGAAUACAUUAGCAUGGAAUAAUAAGAUAGGACUUUUGUCUAUUUUGUUGGUUUUUAUGGACUGAAGUAAUGAUUAAUAGGGGCAGUUGGGGACAUUAAUAUUUAAUUGUCAGAGGUGAAAUUCUUGGAUUUAUUAAAGAUUAACUACUGCGAAAGCAUUUGUCAAGGAUGUUUUCAUUAAUCAAGAACGAAAGUUGGGGGAUCGAAGACGAUCAGAUACCGUCGUAGUCUCAACCAUAAACUAUGCCGACGAGAAAUUAGUGAAUGUUUAUUCAUUGACUUCAUUAGCUUCUUCCGAGAAAUCAAAGUUUUUGGGUUCUGGGGGGAGUAUGGUCGCAAGGCUGAAACUUAAAGGAAUUGACGGAAGGGCACCACCAGGAGUGGAGCCUGCGGCUUAAUUGACCCAACACGGGAAAACUUACCAGGUCCAGACAUAAGAAGGAUUGACAGAUUGAGAGCUCUUUCUUGAUUUUAUGGGUGGUGGUGCAUGGCCGUUCUUAGUUGGUGGAGUGAUUUGUCUGCUUAAUUGCGAUAACGAACGAGACCUUAACCUACUAAAUAGCUACGUGAAACCUAGUUUCAUGGCCAGCUUCUUAGAGGGACUAUAUAAGUCAAUUAUAUGGAAGUUUGAGGCAAUAACAGGUCUGUGAUGCCCUUAGAUGUUCUGGGCCGCACGCGCGCUACACUGACGAAUUCAACGAGUUUUAACCUUAACCGAUAGGUUUGGGUAAUCUUUUAAAAGUUCGUCGUGCUGGGGAUUGACAAUUGCAAUUAUUUGUCAUGAACGAGGAAUUCCUAGUAAGCGCGAGUCAUCAGCUCGCGUUGAUUACGUCCCUGCCCUUUGUACACACCGCCCGUCGCUCCUACCGAUUGGAUGAUCCGGUGAAGUCUUCGGAUUUUAGUUUAAUGAUUGGUUUCCAAUUGUUUUACUUGAAGAAGUUGAUUAAACCUUAUCAUCUAGA